GACGGUACCCGCAGAAGAAGCACCGGCUAACUACGUGCCAGCAGCCGCGGUAAUACGUAGGGUGCGAGCGUUAAUCGGAAUUACUGGGCGUAAAGCGUGCGCAGGCGGUUUAUUAAGACAGAUGUGAAAUCCCCGGGCUCAACCUGGGAACUGCAUUUGUGACUGGUAGGCUAGAGUGUGGCAGAGGGGGGUAGAAUUCCACGUGUAGCAGUGAAAUGCGUAGAGAUGUGGAGGAAUACCGAUGGCGAAGGCAGCCCCCUGGGUUAACACUGACGCUCAUGCACGAAAGCGCGGGGAGCAAACAGGAUUAGAUACCCUGGUAGUCCACGCCCUAAACGAUGUCAACUAGGUGUUGGGGGAGGAGACUUCCUUAGUACCGCAGCUAACGCGUGAAGUUGACCGCCUGGGGAGUACGGCCGCAAGGUGAA
rnacentral:rRNA from 1 species